GAUGAACGCUGGCGGCGUGCCUAAUACAUGCAAGUCGAGCGAACGGACGAGAAGCUUGCUUCUCUGAUGUUAGCGGCGGACGGGUGAGUAACACGUGGAUAACCUACCUAUAAGACUGGGAUAACUUCGGGAAACCGGAGCUAAUACCGGAUAAUAUUUUGAACCGCAUGGUUCAAAAGUGAAAGACGGUCUUGCUGUCACUUAUAGAUGGAUCCGCGCUGCAUUAGCUAGUUGGUAAGGUAACGGCUUACCAAGGCAACGAUGCAUAGCCGACCUGAGAGGGGGAUCGGCCACCACGGAACUGAGAAACGGGCCAAAAUCCUACGGGAGGCAGCCGUAGGGAAACUUUCGCAAUGGGCGAAAGCCUGACGGAGCAACGCCGCGUGAGUGAUGAAGGUCUUCGGAUCGUAAAACUCUGUUAUUAGGGAAGAACAUAUGUGUAAGUAACUGUGCACAUCUUGACGGUACCUAAUCAGAAAGCCACGGCUAACUACGUG
rnacentral:rRNA from 1 species